rnacentral:rRNA from 1 species
GAUUAACGCUAGCGGCAGGCCUAAUACAUGCAAGUCGAACGGGAUUAGAUGUAGCAAUACAACUAUGAGAGUGGCGCACGGGUGCGUAACACGUAUGCAACCUACCUAUAACUGGGGGAUAGCCUCCCGAAAGGGAGAUUAACACCGCAUAACACUAUGAAGUGGCAUCACUUUAUAUUUCAAUCUACGGAGGUUAUAGAUGGGCAUGCGUCCGAUUAGCUAGUUGGUGAGGUAACGGCACACCAAGGCUCCGAUCGGUAGGGGGUCUGAGAGUAUGAUCCCCCACACUGGUACUGAGACACGGACCAGACCACUACGGGAGGCAGCAGUAAGGAAUAUUGGACAAUGGGCGCAAGCCUGAUCCAGCCAUGCCGCGUGAAGGAUGAAGGCCCUAUGGGUCGUAAACUUCUUUUAUACGGGAAAAAACCCCCCGAUGCGUCGGGGGUUGAUGGUACUGUAAGAAUAAGGGUCGGCUAACUUCGUGCCAGCCGCCGCAGUAACAC